CAGUGUUGCCAUAGACAAAGAAAACAAUGUAGAGUUAAAGUUUUAUCGUUCAACUUCAAGGUCAAUAUGGACAUUUAACGUUUUGGUUGAUUGAGUGACAAAUUAUAUUAAUGGCAUAGGCAAAUAGCAACUCAGAGAGAGAGAGAGAGAGAGAGGGAGAGUGAAACAGAGAGAAGAUAAUGUGAUGCGAAAACAGUUAUUUUGGUAUUUGUUUAAGAAAAUCGUGAGUUUGAAUAAAUAAUUUACUUAAAUUCAGCUACAAUACUAAAUCUAUAGAACUUCAUAGCUGGACAGUGGAGCAUGUCACCUUAAGUUUCCUGACUGAGCGAAUGCGUGAAUAUUCAAUAAUUGUUAAAUCAAUUUGAUUGAUUAGUUUUGUAUGGUUAAAAUAAAUUUUCCGUUUACCAACAAACAGACUACACACCUUUUUAUUGAUAAAAAUGUCAACAUCCCAAUUAGUCCAAGUGAUUGAAAGAAAGGGGGAAAAACAAUAUUUAUCAAGAAACAGCAAAGUAUGAGAUGUCCCUCGUUUUUAGGUUUAUAAGGAAUUGGAGAAUUUCCAUACUCAAAACGAAGAUGACUAAUACACUACUCUUUUUCUCAUGCAAAAAUUUCAAUUGUUUUCAAACUGAGCGUAACGCUUUAACCUCAUAAUUGGUAUAAAAAUACAGGAUGUUUAUUCAGCAAAAUAAAUAUAC
rnacentral:sRNA from 1 species